AGCGGCGGACGGGUGAGUAACGCGUGGGUAACCUGCCCUAUACACACGGAUAACAUACCGAAAGGUAUGCUAAUACGAGAUAAUAUAAGAGAUUCGCAUGGAUUUCUUAUCAAAGCUGAGGCGGUAUAGGAUGGACCCGCGUCCGAUUAGCUAGUUGGUAAGGUAACGGCUUACCAAGGCGACGAUCAGUAGCCGACCUGAGAGGGUGAUCGGCCACAUUGGAACUGAGACACGGUCCAAACUCCUACGGGAGGCAGCAGUGGGGAAUAUUGCACAAUGGGCGAAAGCCUGAUGCAGCAACGCCGCGUGAGUGAUGAAGACCUUCGGGUCGUAAAACUCUGUCCUCAAGGAAGAUAAUGACGGUACUUGAGGAGGAAGCCCCGGCUAACUACGUGCCAGCAGCCGCGGUAAUACGUAGGGGGCUAGCGUUAUCCGGAUUUACUGGGCGUAAAGGGUGCGUAGGUGGUCUCUUAAGUCAGGAGUGAAAGGCUACGGCUUAACCGUAGUAAGCUCUUGAAACUGGGAGACUUGAGUGCAAGAGAGGAAAGUGGAAUUCCUAGUGUAGCGGUGAAAUGCGUAGAUAUUAGGAGGAACACCAGUAGCGAAGGCGGCUUUCUGGACUGUAACUGACACUGAGGCACGAAAGCGUGGGGAGCAAACAGGAUUAGAUACCCUGUAGUCCACGCCGUAAACGAUGAGUACUAGGUGU
rnacentral:rRNA from 1 species